CGGGCACUCUACAGUUCAAGCAGCAGCCGUCCGAGAAUCAAAAUAUUUGAAUUUUGGACAAAAUUUACAGAUUUUGAACGGGCGGGAGGUUCAAGCUCGGUGAGCAAGAACCUCAUCCAUGGCCGACAACAGCUUAAGUGGCGAGGAUAAGUUAUCGGGCGUGAUACGGAGGCACGAGGUUAUGGAGCGCUGCAUUAGUCUAUUGUCGGCCAUUAGAUUAUAUUAAUGUUCCUGGAUGGAAGCAUUUGGCGGGCUAAUGUGUUAUGACCGUCCGAUUGAGGUAGUUUUUGGAUCAGCCGGCUCGCAUGAGAAGCGCUUGGCAUAAACCAACCGGCGUUGGACAAACCGCAGUCCUCCCUUCUACCGAGCACAAGGAC
rnacentral:misc_RNA from 1 species